rnacentral:rRNA from 1 species
UCCUGGCUCCAGAUUGAACGCUGUGCGGAAUUAACUUUACACAUGCAAGUCGAACGGCAGCACGGACUUCGGUCUGGUGGCGAGUGGCAGACAGGUGAUAAUGUCAUCGGAACGUGCCCUAGUAGCGGGGGAUAACUACGCGAAAGCGUAGCUAAUAUACGCCCAUGGAAAGCAGAGGAGGGGACCUUCGGGCCUCGCAUAAUGGAAGCGGCCGAUAUCGGAUUGGCUGGUUGGUGGGGUAACGGCUCGCAAGGCGGCGACGAUCCGUAGCUGGUUUGAGAGGACGACCAGCCACACUGGGACACAGACAGCCCGGAACUCCUGGGAGAGGCCAGCAGGGGUGAAGAUUUUGGACUAUUGGAAACCACAGUCCAGCCAUCCCGCGUGUGCGAUGGAAGCGCUGGGUUUGUAAAGCACUUUUGGCGGGAAAGAAACGGCCCAGGAUACGCUCACCCAUGCAACUGGUAAUGCCUGCAGAAUAAGCACCGGCUAACUACGUGCCAGCAGCCGCGGUAAUACGUAGAAGUGCAAGCGUUAAUCGGAAUUACUGGGCGUAAAGCGUGCGCAGGCGGUUCGGAAAGAAAGAUGUAAAUCCCGGAAGCAACUUUGGAACUGCAUUUUUAACUACUGAGCUAAAGUGUGUCAGAGGGAGGUGGAAUUCCGCCCGUGUAGCGGUGAAAUGCGUGGAUAUGCGGAGAACACCGAUGUGAAGGCAACCUCCUGGGAUAACACUGACGCUCAUGCACGAAAGCGUGGGGAGCAAACGGGAUUGGGCUCGCCCUGGUAGUCACCUUUAAAGCGGUAUCAACUAGCUAUUUGGGGCCUUCGAGGCCUUGGUAGCUUAGCUAACGCGUGAAAGUUUGACCGCCUGGAAGUACGGUCGCAAGAUUAAAACUCAAGGAAUUGUGAGGACCCGCACAAGCGGUGGAUGAUGUGGAUUAAUUCGAUGCAACGCGAAAAACCUUACCUACCCUUGACCAUAUGCUGGAAUCCCGAAGAGAUUUAGGAGUGCUCGCAGAGAACCGGGACACAGGUGCUGCAUGGCUGUCGUCAGCUCGUGUCGUGAGAUGUUGGGUUAAGUCCGCAACGAGCGCAACCCUUGUCAUUGGAUUGCUACGAGGGCACUCUAAUGAGACUGCCGGUGACAAACCGGAGGAAGGUGGGGAUGACGUCAAGUCCUCAUGGCCCUUAUGGGUGAGGCUUCCCCACGUCAUCAAUGGUCGGGACAGGGGUCGCCAACCCGCGAGAGGGUAAUCACGAAAUUGAUCGUAGUCCGGAUCAUGAUCUGCAACUCGACUGCGUGAAGUCAGAAUCGCUAGUAAUCGCGGAUCAGCAUGUCGCGGUGAAUACGUUUCCGGGUCUUGUACACACCGCCCGUACACCAUGGGAGUGGGUUUUACAAGAAGUGAUGGCCUAACCCUUAAGGAGGGCGAUUACCACGGUAAGUUCAUGACUGGGGUGAAGUCGUAACAUUAG